GGUCAUGAGUGCCAGCGACAAGCCCCGGCUAGCUGGCCGGCAACCCUCCUACCGCGGUGGGGUGCCCCGGGUGAGGACCAGGUCCGUGGCGAGAACGCGACGGGCAAGCGCGGGCC
rnacentral:ncRNA from 2 species